AACGAACGCUGGCGGCGGGCCUAACACAUGCAAGUCGAGCGCCCCGCAAGGGGAGCGGCGGACGGGUGAGUAACGCGUGGGAACGUACCCUUUGCUACGGAAUAGCCUCGGGAAACUGGGAGUAAUACCGUAUGUGCCCUUCGGGGGAAAGAUUUAUCGGCAAAGGAUCGGCCCGCGUUGGAUUAGGUAGUUGGUGGGGUAAUGGCCUACCAAGCCGACGAUCCAUAGCUGGUUUGAGAGGAUGAUCAGCCACACUGGGACUGAGACACGGCCCAGACUCCUACGGGAGGCAGCAGUGGGGAAUCUUAGACAAUGGGCGCAAGCCUGAUCUAGCCAUGCCGCGUGAGCGAUGAAGGCCUUAGGGUUGUAAAGCUCUUUCAGUGGGGAAGAUAAUGACUGUACCCACAGAAGAAGCCCCGGCUAACUCCGUGCCAGCAGCCGCGGUAAAGUAGACGUC
rnacentral:rRNA from 1 species